AGUGAACGCUGGCGGUAGGCCUAACACAUGCAAGUCGAACGGCAGCACAGUAAGAGCUUGCUCUUACGGGUGGCGAGUGGCGGACGGGUGAGGAAUACAUCGGAAUCUACUUUUUCGUGGGGGAUAACGUAGGGAAACUUACGCUAAUACCGCAUACGACCUACGGGUGAAAGCAGGGGAUCUUCGGACCUUGCGCGAUUGAAUGAGCCGAUGUCGGAUUAGCUAGUUGGCGGGGUAAAGGCCCACCAAGGCGACGAUCCGUAGCUGGUCUGAGAGGAUGAUCAGCAACACUGGAACUGAGACAAGGUCCAGACUCCUACAGGAGGCAGCAGUGGGGAAUAUUGGACAAUGGGAGCAAGCCUGAUCCAGCCAUACCGCGUGGGUGAAGAAGGCCUUCGGGUUGUAAAGACCUUUUGUUGGGAAAGAAAAGCAGCAGGUUAAUACCCCGCUGUUCUGACGGUACCCAAAGAAUAAGCACCGGCUAACUUCGUG
rnacentral:rRNA from 1 species